rnacentral:misc_RNA from 1 species
AUGCGAUACGUAAUGUGAAUUGCAGAAUUCAGUGAAUCAUCGAAUCUUUGAACGCAUAUUGCGCUCUCUGGUAUUCCGGAGAGCAUGCUUGUUUGAGUAUCAGUAAACACCUCAACUCCCUUUUCUUUUUUGAAAUGGGAGCUGGACUUGAGUGAUCCCAACACUUUUCUCACUGGAAAGUGGCGGGUCACUUGAAAUGCAGGUGCAGCUGGACUCUUCUCUGAGCUAUAAGCAUAUCUAUUUAGUCUGCCUAAAAAACAGAUUAUUACCUUUGCUGCAGCUAACAUAAAGGAGAUGAGUUCUUGUGCUGACUGAUGCAGGAUUCACAGAGACAGCUUUGCGGCUGACUUUGUAAACUCGAUCUCAAAUCAAGUAAGACUACCCGCUGAACUUAA